CCGGACCCGGCUAAACUCUUCGGUGCCAACACACCCACUGUGUUUUGCAGAUUUGACAAGUCAUUCAUCUAUCAUCUCAGAGUCUAUGCAUAUCAAGCCAAGAAUCUUCUGCCUAUGGACAAAGACAGCUUUUCUGAUCCCUAUGUGUAUGUGUCAUUCUUGCAUGUCAGCAAGACUACAGAGAGUGUGAAGUCCAGUCUCAACCCCACAUGGGAUCAAACCCUUAUUUUUGAUGACAUUGAAAUCUA